rnacentral:tRNA from 1 species
AGGAAUCUAAGUUUAAUAAGGUAGAAUGUCGGACUGUUUAUCCGAAGAUUGAGGUUCGAAUCCCCCUGGCCUA